rnacentral:rRNA from 1 species
AAAUUGAAGAGUUUGAUCAUGGCUCAGAUUGAACGCUGGCGGCAGGCCUAACACAUGCAAGUCGAGCGGUAGCACAGAGAGCUUGCUCUCGGGUGACGAGCGGCGGACGGGUGAGUAAUGUCUGGGAAACUGCCUGAUGGAGGGGGGAUAACUACUGGAAACGGUAGCUAAUACCGCAUAAUGUCGCAAGACCAAAGUGGGGGACCUUCGGGCCUCAUGCCAUCAGAUGUGCCCAGAUGGGAUUAGCUAGUAGGUGGGGUAACGGCUCACCUAGGCGACGAUCCCUAGCUGGUCUGAGAGGAUGACCAGCCACACUGGAACUGAGACACGGUCCAGACUCCUACGGGAGGCAGCAGUGGGGAAUAUUGCACAAUGGGCGCAAGCCUGAUGCAGCCAUGCCGCGUGUGUGAAGAAGGCCUUCGGGUUGUAAAGCACUUUCAGCGGGGAGGAAGGCGGUGAGGUUAAUAACCUCAUCGAUUGACGUUACCCGCAGAAGAAGCACCGGCUAACUCCGUGCCAGCAGCCGCGGUAAUACGGAGGGUGCAAGCGUUAAUCGGAAUUACUGGGCGUAAAGCGCACGCAGGCGGUCUGUCAAGUCGGAUGUGAAAUCCCCGGGCUCAACCUGGGAACUGCAUUCGAAACUGGCAGGCUAGAGUCUUGUAGAGGGGGGGGUAGAAUUCCAGGUGUAGCGGUGAAAUGCGUAGAGAUCUGGAGGAAUACCGGUGGCGAAGGCGGCCCCCUGGACAAAGACUGACGCUCAGGUGCGAAAGCGUGGGGAGCAAACAGGAUUAGAUACCCUGGUAGUCCACGCCGUAAACGAUGUCGAUUUGGAGGUUGUGCCCUUGAGGCGUGGCUUCCGGAGCUAACGCGUUAAAUCGACCGCCUGGGGAGUACGGCCGCAAGGUUAAAACUCAAAUGAAUUGACGGGGGCCCGCACAAGCGGUGGAGCAUGUGGUUUAAUUCGAUGCAACGCGAAGAACCUUACCUGGUCUUGACAUCCACAGAACUUUCCAGAGAUGGAUUGGUGCCUUCGGGAACUGUGAGACAGGUGCUGCAUGGCUGUCGUCAGCUCGUGUUGUGAAAUGUUGGGUUAAGUCCCGCAACGAGCGCAACCCUUAUCCUUUGUUGCCAGCGGUCCGGCCGGGAACUCAAAGGAGACUGCCAGUGAUAAACUGGAGGAAGGUGGGGAUGACGUCAAGUCAUCAUGGCCCUUACGACCAGGGCUACACACGUGCUACAAUGGCAUAUACAAAGAGAAGCGACCUCGCGAGAGCAAGCGGACCUCAUAAAGUAUGUCGUAGUCCGGAUUGGAGUCUGCAACUCGACUCCAUGAAGUCGGAAUCGCUAGUAAUCGUAGAUCAGAAUGCUACGGUGAAUACGUUCCCGGGCCUUGUACACACCGCCCGUCACACCAUGGGAGUGGGUUGCAAAAGAAGUAGGUAGCUUAACCUUCGGGAGGGCGCUUACCACUUUGUGAUUCAUGACUGGGGUGAAGUCGUAACAAGGUAACCGUAGGGGAACCUGCGGUUGGAUCACCUCCUUACCUUAAAGAA